GCCGGUGCUGCAAUGAAGACUUUGGACAGCGUAGGCCUUCAGUGUGAGUUGAGUCCGUUGACACUGUAGAAUGCACUUUGGGUUUAUUGGAUUGUAUGGCUAGAAAAAGAACAAGAACAUUACUACAACCUGGGAUUCUUGGCAACUUAAAGGCUUUAAAUUAAAACGAAGAACUGCGGGUGCUGAAGAACUGCGGGUGCUGAAGAUCUGAAACAAAAACAGAUUUAUCAAGGCUGUCUGAUGUUGUUUCAAGCUCUCUCAUCUCCUUCAUGUUGUCAAAGGCCUGCCAUCACUGGAAAGUAAAAAUAUUUUUAUGUCAAACAUCCUAUAAUAUUAAUGGACAAUAAGGAUGACGGCAUUGCUGGCUUUAUUGCCCAUCCCUAAUUGCCCAGAGGGGUCUGGAGUCACAUGUAGGCCAGACCAGGCUUACCAAUUGCCCCAGUGAAGCUCAAAAGAAAUCUGGAGGAACAAUACCUAAUUUUCUGCCGAGUACCCCUGUAGCUGCCAGUCAACCAUAUUGUCAAGUAUCACGCAACUCAGGCUGAGACAGUGCAGUCUGAAGCCACAUCUGCAGAUCCUUGAAACCUUCCACCGUCUGCAGUCUCUUCAACCUACCACCAAGCUGCACUGUGGAUGUACCUUGUAGGACCAUGAGGAAAGCAGUAAUGCAGUAAAUAUAUAAGGGUAAUUAUGUAUGUUUUCAUUUCUUAGUAACAGAAUUGAUAACUUUGGAUUUGAAUUUGUAUUUGGUGGCAUUUUAUUAUGUAUUGAAAAGAGGGAGAAAACAUUAAAUGUUAUCCGAAUGAGAACUAUGGGAUGGCCACUGAGAAGGACAAGAUAUGGAGGAAGGGCCUAGUUAUGAGUGGGGGUGGCGGUAUGUUUGAAACUACAGGAAUCACUUGUUGAAUAAUCUGGUUAUGUAUGGUCUGGGUAAAAACCAAUGUAUGCAUUAAUAUCCCUUCCUCUUGCUCUGCAUUUCAGCCUCCUCAACUUAACCCUCCUCCUUCUACUCAUAUUCUUGUCUCCUUUUGGGGUAGGAAGUGUAACCGAAUCUGCCCUCUUUCACAGUAUUCCUCCUGCCUCCUGUUUUGUGUCAUCAUGACCCCAUGUAUACUUACAUUUGUUAUCCAACUUAAACCCCUUGGAAUUAGUCUACGGUGAGGCAAGAAUACUUAACUCUUUGUAAUAGUACUACAUGAGGAUCUGGUCCUCGACCCUGUGCGCAUGUUCUUACAUGGACCUACAAGAUUAAGGAUGGACCUUCUGUUAAAAUCAAGAUAUUUUCUGGUUAAAAAGAAAAUCAAUAUUUUAUUGCAAAUUGGAAAAGAAAGAAUUGUUAUGGCAAUAUGAAAUUAUUGAUUAUAUUGCUUGCACACUUUCAUGUAAUAGCUGAACCCCCAUCUUCAUUGUAAUUGGACUGUGUUAAUCAAUAGGUUAAACUAUAACA